rnacentral:rRNA from 1 species
UACGUAGGGCGCAAGCGUUGCUCGGAAUUACUGGGCGUAAAGCGCGCGUAGGCGGCUUUGUAAGUUAGAGGUGAAAGCCCGGAGCUCAACUCCGGAACUGCCUUUAAGACUGCAUCGCUAGAAUUGUGGAGAGGUGAGUGGAAUUCCGAGUGUAGAGGUGAAAUUCGUAGAUAUUCGGAAGAACACCAGUGGCGAAGGCGACUCACUGGACACAUAUUGACGCUGAGGUGCGAAAGCGUGGGGAGCAAACAGG